rnacentral:rRNA from 1 species
GUGGGGAAUAUUGGACAAUGGGCGAAAGCCUGAUCCAGCCAUGCCGCGUGUGUGAAGAAGGCCUUUUGGUUGUAAAGCACUUUAAGCGAGGAGGAGGCUACUUGGAUUAAUACUCUAGGAUAGUGGACGUUACUCGCAGAAUAAGCACCGGCUAACUCUGUGCCAGCAGCCGCGGUAAUACAGAGGGUGCGAGCGUUAAUCGGAUUUACUGGGCGUAAAGCGUGCGUAGGCGGCUUUUUAAGUCGGAUGUGAAAUCCCUGAGCUUAACUUAGGAAUUGCAUUCGAUACUGGGAAGCUAGAGUAUGGGAGAGGAUGGUAGAAUUCCAGGUGUAGCGGUGAAAUGCGUAGAGAUCUGGAGGAAUACCGAUGGCGAAGGCAGCCAUCUGGCCUAAUACUGACGCUGAGGUACGAAAGCAUGGGGAGCAAACAGGAUUAGAUACCCGGGUAGUCC